UGGUGCCUUUUAAGUGCAUGUGAUCUGGUCCGUCAUUGUGGUCUUGUGUUUUUGCUUGUGACACGCUUGCACAUUCCCAGACUGAGUGACCACACACACACAAACAAUAACCAUGCACUUUUCAGACAAAACUUGGAGAGCCGGUGUAAAUGUUUGCAUUUUCAAACUAAAGAUAUUUCUUUAUUUAUCCCACACGGGGGAAAAAAAGUCCUUUUGGACCAAAGGUCUUAAUUUGUAUCCAUUUUCGGUGAAAAAUGGCCUCAUAUUAAUCAUCGCUCAAUGUGCAGCAGUGCCUCAUUUUGUUACCAUGACAGCUGGAGUGAGUUGGAGAGGAAGAAUCGUACAGUCCUACCAAGAAGGGACAGGAAUUAUGACUGGAUAAGGGCGAAGAAAAUAAAUAAAGGCAGGAGAGAAAAAAGUGCCGAGCAUCCUGUUUGAGUUCCUGUUUCGAGACCUGGCAGUUACCUGGCUACGAGACAAUUAAGCGAGGAAGACUGGGCUCUUACCUGGACCUGUUCAGAAAACGUGGUGGACUGUCUGCUUGUCAGGCUAGGAGCAGAACUCUCCUCCGGACGCAGUAACACUUGCUGACCUCGUCUGCAGGCAUCAAAAAAGAAAAGUCAGCACGCAUGCAUUUUUUUUUUUUUUGGGCAGCUGUGCGCGCCGAUAAGCUGCUGUUAAAACAACUCAAACACACAAACUAAUCUGGUAAGUUUUGAGCUGAAGAAUGCUGGAAUUUAAGCACGCAUGUAGGGGAAUUCAAGAUAAACUGUGUGUGUUGAGCCCUUACAGGUCCUUCCCCUUCUUCCUCUCGAACGCGGUCAUGUCAUCUCCACCUGUCGUACGCAGAGAGAGCGCCGGGGUCACACACGCAUUGGCGCACGCGGCGACGCGGUGAUGCUCGCACUGGCAGCAGCAGGCUGGAACACACACUAGUGCACUGACACCACGAGCAGCGGCUCGCAAAGCUCAGAGUGAACGCGCGCUCUCUCCUCCUCCUCUUGCCACCUCCUCCUCCUCCCACCCCCAUCGCUCUGAUCAUCCUCAGGGUCUUACUGCCUCCAUCAACCUUGCCUGUGUUUCACUUUCUUGUUGUUGUUCCAGCUGGAUAGCCAUCAACACACAUGCACCGGCGACAAUGUCAUGCAGGGAAGAACCCACACACCUGGGAAAAGCCUUCCUGAGAAUUUUCAAAUAAUAGCUUAAGAAUUGCCAUCAAUAGAACCACCAUUACUCAAUACCCCAGAAUCAAGGCAGAACAUUUUUUAGGUUGGCUAUCCUGUUCAAGCUUGCAAGGGGAUCAAGAGCAAUUUCCAGUUUACAUAAACUGAGAGACACUGCCAGUAUUGCAGGGCAACUGCGAAUAGGGCAUCGGCCAGGAAAUGAGCCUGCAUAUGCAAACCACUAGACUACAAAUCCCCCCCACCCCGCCCCCCGGGCCAAAUUUCUCAGCAUUGCUACAGUGUUCAAAGAAAUGACGAUUUCCAGAUUGUCUGUAUAAUUCCUACAAGUGCACCAAUUACAAUGAUUGCAGAUCA